CCUGUGGGGUUUUUUUUUGUUUUUUUCUCUCACCUCAUCUCGGAUGUAUAUAAAUUAUUAUUUUUUACGGAGGUAAGCUUUCUUUAGAAAGAAAACGGGGCAGAGUUAAGGAAAAAAGAAAAAAGCCCAACCCAAAUAAAAAAGAGGAAAAAGUGUUUUGUCAAAACGGCUGUCGUGGGGCAUCGUUGCCGCGUUUCGUCCGAAGACGGUCAGAAAGGGUUUCUGUUUACUCAUACCCCACAAACACACUCUCUCUCUCUCGACUGUUCUACUUCUUAGCAGCGUGGACCUUAGAAAUGCUCCGAAAACCUUUGCAGAGAAAACAGUUUUUUUAGUAAAGAGGAUGAACAAAAGAAAAAGGACCUUUGUCCACCUGCUUCGCUUAGCUCUCUCAAGUAAAUUAUCAUUGCUCGUGGGAGAGGCCAUUGCCAUAGGUUCCUCCACAAGAAGAGUUGAAGAUGGUGCAACAUCAGAUCCCAUUACCUUACUUCGAAUGGAAUUUUAGCCCAUGAAUUUUAAUUUUCUAGAGUUUGUGGCCUUUUUUCCUUACUAGAUUCCGCAUAUAUUUUCUUCUUUAUGCCCCCCUCUGAAGUUGAAUAUGUGUGUGAGUGGUGCAGGCAAUACUCUUCUGUCAAUUGUGGUCACUUCAUAUAGUUGAAUCAUUUAUUGUGAUAUCCUUUGGCCCAGUCUGGUUUCUAGGAUUCAUCUUGGCUAUCUAACAUCCUGAAAUCAUUUUAUAAUAUCUUCCACGGUUUACCAAGGAUUUACCUGCAUCUUUUUCCAUGUACUUAUUUUAGCUGUGAAAGUAUUUGUUCAUUUAUUUAUUUUUCCGUCAGUUAAAAAUCUUUUAGUUAAUAUAACUCUGACUUUGCAAGGGGUCAAAAAGGAGACAGUCAAGACAUUAUUGGAUAGGAGAAAAUUUGAAAAUCCUUUUAUUAGCGAAUUUGAUUUAUAAAAUGUAUUCCAUUUCACAAUUCUAGGGUAGAACUAAUUGUAAUGAAAUUUGACAAGAAAAUAGACAGCUAUAAGGCAAGUCAGGGAUGACGGAGAAUUAGUUUUUUUGUUUAAGGUUAUUAUUGAUUGUUAUAAAAUGCUCAAUAUUCAGUAGCACUUCAAAAUAGUCAUCCUGCUCUCCUUCCUUCCCUUGUUUUUUUUUUUAAAAAAAUUAGAAAGGAGUGCAUGAUGACUAUUUUGGAGUGCCAAUAACAGCUCCCAUAUUAAGUAUAAAUUUUCAUCUCAUGGAUAAAAAGACGUGAUGAUCAUUGAUCUGGUAGGUAGUUUGGGAUCACGAACAAUGAUACUAACUGAAAAAGUAAACUUAGCUAUGAAUUCCACCCAACAGAUAAAGAUAUGGUGAUAAGUUAGGGAUCAUUGACCAGUCUGGCUAUAGAAUUAUAAACUUUUAUUACUGGAGUAUUUUCUGGUGGUUUGGUGCUUGAAGCUUCAUGUUCCUUUCAAUUAUUGAAGUAUAUAAUGAAAUAUCAUUUCCUUCCACAAAAUUCAUGCCGAUUUUCUGGUGAAAGUUUGAAUAUCGUUUGUCACUCCAGAAAAUUAAUAGGGUUGUACUGUACAUAUUCAUACCCAUUUUAAGAGGGAGCCUGAGGUUGGUUUAGAAUGGACGUAAUGCCAUUAUGGCUAGGUGAAUAGAGAUCAAUUGACUAAUGACAAAGAAAGUUCCAUUCUCAGUGCUCCAUAAGCUGUAUGAUCCCAUUUGUGUAUUGAUGUUGUUUGUUGAAUAUCAUUUUGUCUUUCCAGAAAACAAGUUAACUAUUUUGAAAAAGAUUUUAUUUCUUAUAAUACCUGAUACUGAUGACACUCUCUUUGCAUAGAUUUAUCUAAAUCUAGAUUGUUUAUGACACCUUAAAAUUGGAUCACAUAACUAAAAUAUGUGGCUUUUGCCUUCAUUAGGUGUUUGAUCAACAGGGAAAUUGAUUGAAUUGUCUGCAACAUAUGAUGAUAAGUAUUAAAAUCAUCAUCAUCAUAAUCACCUUGGUGAAUUAAGUGUGUAGGCAGUCUUGAUGAUUUUAUAUUAUGACUAAUUAAGAUGUCAUCACUGAAAUGAUUUCCAUGAAUAUUGCUGACAUGGAAGUACCUUGUACAGCUAUACAAUUGAUAUGCGUUGUACCAAGUGAUUUGUUAAUGGGUACCUUAAGUUAUAUCCUUUUCUCAUUUCCUUGGAUGAAAAUGAUGAUGGCAAUGAGAUGGUUCCCAUUGAAAAUGUUGGUGUGAAUGAACUACUGUUGAUGCUACAGUAGCUAUAUUUACUUGAUGAGGGUUCCAUCUUGUGAUAAUGCUAUCGACCUUAGUCAAGAAUGAUGUUGAUGGUGCCAUGUGAGCAUCUAGUACAAUUCUGGUGUUACUUGUGACAUUAUUUUUCAGUGUCAAUUAGACGAUUCCGUUGUCUAUGACAUGGGAACGUGAUGUGAUGAUCUUAUGUCCUUUUCCCCGUUGGUGGAUGGUAAAGUUUGGUGAUAGACAUCAGACCCAAAAAAAAAAAGAGGCUUGGUGACAGACAAGAACAUCCCGAUAAAUCGUGUCAAAUGUACAAAGAAUUACACAUUUCAAUUAUGAUGGGGUUGAUUUUCAUGAUUA